GCCUAGUUAGUUCAUCGGCUAGAACGGCAGUUUUGUAAACUGCAUGUGGCGGGUUCGAUUCCUGCACUAGGCU
rnacentral:tRNA from 1 species